rnacentral:rRNA from 1 species
UACAGAGGGGGCAAGCGUUGUUCGGAAUUACUGGGCGUAAAGGGCGCGUAGGCGGCCUGUUAAGUCAGACGUGAAAUCCCUCGGCUCAACCGGGGAACUGCGUCUGAUACUGGCGGGCUUGAAUUCGGGAGAGGGAUGUGGAAUUCCAGGUGUAGCGGUGAAAUGCGUAGAUAUCUGGAGGAACUCCGGUGGCGAAGGCGGCAUCCUGGACCGACAUUGACGCUGAGGCGCGAAAGCCAGGGGAGCAAACAGG